rnacentral:tRNA from 1 species
GGCUGUGUAGCUCAAUGGAUAGAGCAGGUGCGUCCUAAGCACAAGGUUGUGGGUUCGAGUCCCUCCAUGGUCA